rnacentral:rRNA from 1 species
GUAGGGAAUCUUCGGCAAUGGACGGAAGUCUGACCGAGCAACGCCGCGUGAGUGAAGAAGGUUUUCGGAUCGUAAAGCUCUGUUGUAAGAGAAGAACGAGUGUGAGAGUGGAAAGUUCACACUGUGACGGUAUCUUACCAGAAAGGGACGGCUAACUACGUGCCAGCAGCCGCGGUAAUACGUAGGUCCCGAGCGUUGUCCGGAUUUAUUGGGCGUAAAGCGAGCGCAGGCGGUUAGAUAAGUCUGAAGUUAAAGGCUGUGGCUUAACCAUAGUACGCUUUGGAAACUGUUUAACUUGAGUGCAAGAGGGGAGAGUGGAAUUCCAUGUGUAGCGGUGAAAUGCGUAGAUAUAUGGAGGAACACCGGUGGCGAAAGCGGCUCUCUGGCUUGUAACUGACGCUGAGGCUUGAAAGCGUGGGGAGCAAACAGGAUUAGAUACCCUGGUAGUCCACGCCGUAAACGAUGAGUGCUAGGUGUUAGACCCUUUCCGGGGUUUAGUGCCGCAGNNUAACGCAUUAAGCACUCCGCCUGGGGAGUACGACCGCAAGGUUG